rnacentral:misc_RNA from 1 species
UGGUGGCUGCUGUUCACUCUG